UACGGAGGGUGCAAGCGUUAUCCGGAAUUACUGGGUUUAAAGGGUGCGUAGGCGGUCUAAUAAGUCAGAGGUGAAAGGUUGUCGCUUAACGAUAAAAUUGCCUUUGAUACUGUUAGACUUGAAUCAGAAUGAGGUUGGCGGAAUGUGACAUGUAGCGGUGAAAUGCAUAGAUAUGUCAUGGAACACCGAUUGCGAAGGCAGCUAACUGGCACUAGAUUGACGCUGAGGCACGAAAGCGUGGGGAGCGAACAGG
rnacentral:rRNA from 1 species